AAAAGUCACAGCAAGAAGAGCUGUUGUAGAUAGAUUUUAAGUAUAAGUAUAGUAAUAUAUUUAGCUGAGGAAUACUAAUUGACUGAAUGAAGUUUUUAAA
rnacentral:rRNA from 1 species